rnacentral:lncRNA from 1 species
UUUUUUUCUUUUUGGUUUUUUGAGACAGGGAUUCUCUGUGUAGCCUUGACUGUCCUGAAACUCACUCCGUAGACCACCUGCUUCUGCCUCCAGAGUACUGGGAUUAGAGGCGUGUGCCACCAGCACCUUUUGCUGUUGAAGGCCAGAAGAUAAAUUGUUGUCCUAUACCUUCAAGUUCCCUUGAAUUCAAGAACAGCAAGGCCUGCAGGCAGGACGAACCAUCCCUACGAUGAGAAUAAUUAUCAGUGAUGAAAAUGCUACACCCUGGAACAGAUCAUAUUGUAAAAACCAAAAAUGCACAGCUGAUCGUGAAGAACAUGAAGAUACAGGCAUUUCAAAUACAGAAAUUCUCAGUUUCCUGCACAUCUUUUCUUAGGAAACUUCUUGAGAGGAAACCAUGAGCUACAGGAAACAGAUGAGUAGAAGGGAUUCAGGAUGCUUUGAUCUUCUCUGGAUCUCUAGAUACUUAACAGAGGGAGAUGUUUUGAGAAUAGGCCAUCAAAGGAUUUCAUCACUGUGAAAGUGUCAGAGAAUGGUGUUUAGUAUGUGACGCCAGAAGCCUCCAACACCCUCAGGAUACAUUAUACUUGCAGGUAAAACACUUGGUGCACAAAGCCUGAUGACCUGAGUUUGAUGCCUGGAACCCACGAUGGGAAGGGAGAACCCGUUUCUAAAAGUUAUACUCUGCACUCCAUACGAACACUAUGGCAUACACACGAGAGUUCUGACUGGCACCCUCUACUAGUGGGCUGCAGGCAUCUGUUGGAAGCCAGAUGCCCACAUGCCAAGCUCCUUGCUCAGUCAAGAAAAGAAACACUGUCCAGACUUGGUUUCAUCAGGAAAGCCUCUGGCAAACAAAAAGAACUUUGUGUCAAAGUCUUUCUCCUACAUUGGCUACCAGCUGUAAUAGCAUCUGAACUUCCUAUGACUCUGUUGACCAGAACAUAGUGACAUGUACUUCUCACUCAACUGGCAAGGAUUCCUUUCUUUCCCAGAGUCCCAGUUACAUGUGCCAGAACUCAAUAAUGAGUUGCCCAGUCCCUGUCCACAAAGACGUAAUUCAUGGGGUGAGCAAUAUCUCGAAAAAUGAUAUGAUCAUAGAAACUUUUAUAAAAAUUAAGUAGAAUUCAAAACUUAGGUUUUUUUUCCUUUAACAAAUACCUUAGGCAGAGGAGAUGGCCCAGUGGUAAUGCAUCUCCAACCAAGUCUGAAGUCCUAGGUUCAAACCAUAGAACCAACACCCAAAAUUUGUCCUCUACACAAG